UACAGAGGGUGCGAGCGUUAAUCGGAAUUACUGGGCGUAAAGCGCACGUAGGUGGUCCAGCAAGUCGGGUGUGAAAGCCCUCGGCUUAACCGAGGAAGUGCAUUCGAAACUACUGGACUUGAAUACUGAAGAGGAUCGCGGAAUUCCCGGUGUAGAGGUGAAAUUCGUAGAUAUCGGGAGGAACACCAGUGGCGAAGGCGGCGAUCUGGGCAGAUAUUGACACUGAGGUGCGAAAGCGUGGGGAGCAAACAGG
rnacentral:rRNA from 1 species